rnacentral:snRNA from 1 species
GUGUUCACUUCAGCAGCACAUGUGCUAAAACUGGAACGAUACAGGGAAGAUUAGCGUGGCCCCAAUGCAAGGAUAACACACAAAUUUGUGAAGUGUUCCAUGUUUUU